AGUGCAUGCGGCGGAUGCCUUGGCGAUCACAGGCGAAGAAAGACGCGGCAGCCUGCGAAAAGCUGCGGGGAGCUGGCAAACGAGCUUUGAUCCGCAGAUAUCUGAAUGGGGGAACCCACACCGCAAGGUGUAUCCGUAGCUCAAUACAUAGGUUACGGAGGCGAACGAGGAGAACUGAAACAUCUAAGUAUCCUCAGGAAAAGAAAUCAACCGAGAUUCCGGCAGUAGCGGCGAGCGAACCCGGAGGAGCCCAGCUUUUGAUAGUACGAACUUUAGCCGAAAGGUCCUGGAAAGGCCUGCUAUAGUGGGUGAUAGCCCCGUAGGCGAAAGAGUUGGUACGGUACUAAGGAAGCGAGAAGUAGAGCGGGACACGUGGAAUCCUGUUCGAAGACGGGGGGACCAUCCUCCAAGGCUAAAUACUCGUGAUCGACCGAUAGUGAACCAGUACCGUGAGGGAAAGGCGAAAAGAACCCCGGGAGGGGAGUGAAAUAGAACCUGAAACCGCAUGCAUACAAACAGUAGGAGCCUCGUCAGAGGUGACUGCGUACCUUUUGCAUAAUGGGUCAGCGACUUACAUUCUGUGGCGAGCUUAACCGAAUAGGGGAGGCGCAGCGAAAGCGAGUUCGAAAUGAGCGUUCAGUCGCAGGGUGUAGACCCGAAACCAGAUGAGCUAUCCAUGGCCAGGUUGAAGGUGUGGUAACACACACUGGAGGACCGAACCGACUAGUGUUGCAAAAUUAGCGGAUGAGCUGUGGAUAGGGGUGAAAGGCCAAACAAAUCUGGAGAUAGCUGGUUCUCCCCGAAAACUAUUGAGGUAGUGCCUCGUGUGUCGCUCCAGGGGGUAGAGCACUGUUUUGGCUAGGGGGACAUGGAGUCUUACCAAACCAAGGCAAACUCCGAAUACCUGGAAGCGUGAGCACGGGAGACAGAGCACCGGGUGCUAACGUCCGGACUCAAAAGGGAAACAACCCAGACCGCCGGCUAAGGUCCCAAAUAACAGCUAAGUGGAAAACGAAGUGGAAAGGCCGUGACAACCAGGAAGUUGGCUUAGAAGCAGCCAUCCUUCAAAGAAAGCGUAAUAGCUCACUGGUCGAGUCCUUCUGCGCGGAAGAUGUAACGGGGCUAAGCUGUUAACCGAAGCCGCGGAUGCGCUGGUUAUCCAGUGCGUGGUAGGGGAGCGUUCUGUAAGUCUGCGAAGGCGGUUCGAGAGGACUGCUGGAGAUAUCAGAAGUGCGAAUGCUGACAUGAGUAACGUUAAAGCAGGUGAAAAGCCUGCUCGCCGUAAGCCCAAGGAUUCCUGCUCUACGUUCAUCGGAGCAGGGUGAGUCGGCUCCUAAGGUCAGGCCGAAAGGCGUAGCCGAUGGGAAUCAGGUUAAUAUUCCUGAACCUGCGUCAGAUGCGAUGGGGGGACGGAGCAUGGAAGAUCAUCCGGGUGUUGGAAGUCCCGGUUGUUUAGCGUAGGAGGUCUGCAGGCAAAUCCGCAGACGCAUCUCCAAGGCAAAGACACGUGCCGCCACGGCGGCGAAGUGAUCGGAAGUGCUUCCAAGAAAAGCCUCUAAGCACCAGUCUGAUGCGGACCGUACCGCAAACCGACACUGGUGGGCGAGCUGAAUAUGCUCAGGCGCUUGAGAGAACUCGGGAGAAGGAACUCGGCAAAUUGACACCGUAACUUCGGAAGAAGGUGUGCCGUAGUACCGUGAGAGGAGAGACACCUUGAGCGGGAAACGGUCUCAGAGAAUAGGUGGCUGCGACUGUUUAUUAAAAACACAGCACUCUGCAAAGUCGAAAGACGACGUAUAGGGUGUGAUGCCUGCCCGGUGCUGGAAGAUUAAUUGAUGGGGUGAGAGCCCUUGAUCGAAGUCCCAGUAAACGGCGGCCGUAACUAUAACGGUCCUAAGGUAGCGAAAUUCCUUGUCGGGUAAGUUCCGACCUGCACGAAUGGCAUAACGAUGGCCACACUGUCUCCUCCCGAGACUCAGUGAAGUUGAAAUGUUUGUGAUGAUGCAAUCUACCCGCGGCUAGACGGAAAGACCCCAUGAACCUUUACUGCAGCUUUGCAUUGAACUGUGAACCGAUUUGUGUAGGAUAGGUGGGAGGCAGAGAAGAGGCCACGCCAGUGGUCUUGGAGCCGACCUUGAAAUACCACCCUGAUUUGUUUGCGGUUCUAACCACGGACAGUGAUCCUGUCUUGGGACCGUGCAUGGUAGGCAGUUUGACUGGGGCGGUCUCCUCCUAAAGGGUAACGGAGGAGUACGAAGGUACGCUAGGUACGGUCGGAAAUCGUGCUGAUAGUGCAAUGGCAAAAGCGUGCUUGACUGCGAGAGCAACAACUCGAGCAGAUGCGAAAGCAGGUCAUAGUGAUCCGGUGGCUCUGAAUGGAAGGGCCAUCGCUCAACGGAUAAAAGGUACUCUGGGGAUAACAGGCUGAUACCGCCCAAGAGUUCAUAUCGACGGCGGUGUUUGGCACCUCGAUGUCGGCUCAUC
rnacentral:rRNA from 1 species